UACGUAGGGUGCGAGCGUUAAUCGGAAUUACUGGGCGUAAAGCGCGCGCAGGUGGUCUCUUAAGUCUGAUGUGAAAGCCCACGGCUCAACCGUGGAGGGUCAUUGGAAACUGGGGGACUUGAGUACAGAAGAGGAAAGCGGAAUUCCCCGUGUAGCGGUGAAAUGCGUAGAGAUGUGGAGGAACACCAGUGGCGAAGGCGGCUUUCUGGUCUGUAACUGACGCUGAGGCGCGAAAGCGUGGGGAGCAAACAGG
rnacentral:rRNA from 1 species